UGCACCACACCACACACGAGUACGCCCCCGCGAGAGGAUCACUCUACGCGUGUCCUAUAACCAAUCCUAAUCACAUGCCGCGAAACCCAGAGGCAGUUAUUCUCAACGCGUGCCUAUAUAAGGGUGACCUUGCUUCUCCCUCAAGGUAUGAUUCACUUUUCACAACACUUUCUAUACUCUUUCUCAGUUCCAUUACUAACUUGAGCGUUGGAGUGCUAACGUGUCUGCAUUCGUUCCACCACAAAGACUCAUCACCCCCAUACCAGAAACUGUCAUCGUCACACCGGAGCACUUUCCGCCAUCAUUUCCACUCAUCCAUCUUCAGUGGACAUAUCAUUUGGCACAAGGAGGAGGUAAUCUUUUGCUAACCUCCACGGUCUAACAAUCCUCCAC
rnacentral:lncRNA from 1 species